UACGGGGGGAGCGAACGUUGUUCGGAAUCACUGGGCGUAAAGGGCGUGUAGGCGGCUGAAUAAGUGGGAUGUUAAAUCCCCCGGCUCAACCGGGGACCUGCAUCUCAUACUGUUCAGCUCGAGCACAUCAGAGGAGACUGGAAUUCCCGGUGUAGCGGUGAAAUGCGUAGAUAUCGGGAGGAGCACCAGUGGCGAAGGCGAGUCUCUGGGAUGAUGCUGACGCUGAGGCGCGAAAGCCAGGGGAGCAAACGGG
rnacentral:rRNA from 1 species